rnacentral:rRNA from 1 species
GAUAAGGAGCUUGCUCCUUUGACGUUAGCGGCGGACGGGUGAGUAACACGUGGAUAACCUACCUAUAAGACUGGGAUAACUUCGGGAAACCGGAGCUAAUACCGGAUAACAUAUUGAACCGCAUGGUUCAAUAGUGAAAGGCGGCUUUGCUGUCACUUAUAGAUGGAUCCGCGCCGUAUUAGCUAGUUGGUAAGGUAACGGCUUACCAAGGCAACGAUACGUAGCCGACCUGAGAGGGUGAUCGGCCACACUGGAACUGAGACACGGUCCAGACUCCUACGGGAGGCAGCAGUAGGGAAUCUUCCGCAAUGGGCGAAAGCCUGACGGAGCAACGCCGCGUGAGUGAUGAAGGUCUUCGGAUCGUAAAACUCUGUUAUCAGGGAAGAACAAAUGUGUAAGUAACUGUGCACAUCUUGACGGUACCUGAUCAGAAAGCCACGGCUAACUACGUGCCAGCAGCCGCGGUAAUACGUAGGUGGCAAGCGUUAUCCGGAAUUAUUGGGCGUAAAGCGCGCGUAGGCGGUUUUUUAAGUCUGAUGUGAAAGCCCACGGCUCAACCGUGGAGGGUCAUUGGAAACUGGAAAACUUGAGUGCAGAAGAGGAAAGUGGAAUUCCAUGUGUAGCGGUGAAAUGCGCAGAGAUAUGGAGGAACACCAGUGGCGAAGGCGACUUUCUGGUCUGUAACUGACGCUGAUGUGCGAAAGCGUGGGGAUCAAAC